rnacentral:sRNA from 1 species
GCUGGGCGUGGUAGUGCACGCCUGCAAUCCUAGCAGCUUGGGAGGCUGAGGCAGGAGGAUCCUGAGUUCAGAGCCAGCCUCAC